rnacentral:tRNA from 1 species
GCUGUGGUUCAGAGGUAGAACAUCUGCUUGGGAUGCAGAAGGUCCUAGGUUCAAUCUCCGGCAUCUCCG